AACAAAUUCGCAAUAAAAUAUAUCACAUUUAAAAAUUUUGCUGAAUUGCAGAAAAAUGAGGAACAUUUUACAUUUUCUCAAACAGGGUAAGGAACUUGGUUUCUCGAAUAACUUCUGGCACAGACAUCUGAGGGCAUGGCCGUCCAAGAAGAAAAUGUAGCCAUUGAUGCCAUCUAUCGACCACAGGCAAAGAUUGGAGAUCCGUUAGAUACCGGCCGAGUUAUAUGCAAAAUUUGGUGCGAAAAUGAGGAAAAUGUUACAUUUUCUCAAACAGGGUAAGGAACUUGGUUCCUCGCAUAACUUCUGGCACAGACAUCUGAGGGCAUGGUCGUCCAAGAAGAAAAUGUAGCCAUUGAUGCCAUCUAUCGACCACAGGCAAAGAUUGGAGAUCCGUUAGAUACCAACCGAAUUAUAGGCAAAAUUUGGUGCGAAAAUGAGGAAAUUUUUACAUUUUCUCAAACAGGGUAAGGAACUUGGUACCUCGCAUAACUUCUGGCACAGACAUCUGAGGGCAUGGCCGUCCACGAAGAAAAUGUAGCCAUUGGUGCCAUCUAUCGACCACAGGUUAAAGAUUGGCGAUCCGUUGGGUACCGACCGAGUUAUAGGCAAAACUUGGUGCGAAAAUGAGCCUUAGUGGAUUGACAAAUUUAUAGAUUUUUUCAAUUUUUUUCAUUAUUUUUUACCUUUUUUUAAUUUAAAGCAUUGUUUGAGUGAAAAGGAACUAAUUGCAACAAUUUCGCAUUAAAAAAAACAAAUUUUUAAAUUUUGCUAAAUUUCUCAAAAAAAUGGCAAGGGGUACCCCUUAUGAAAUUUUCGAGUGGAAAUUUUUUUUGAAAUUUUUUUCUGAUUUUUUAUUCUUUUUUUAAUUUAAAGCAAUAUUUGAGUGAAAACAAACUUAUUGCAACAAAUUCGCAAUAAAAUAUAUCACAUUUAAAAAUUUUGCUGAAUUGCAGAAAAAUGAGGAACAUUUUACAUUUUCUCAAACAGGGUAAGGAACUUGGUUUCUCGAAUAACUUCUGGCACAGACAUCUGAGGGCAUGGCCGUCCAAGAAGAAAAUGUAGCCAUUGAUGCCAUCUAUCGACCACAGGCAAAGAUUGGAGAUCCGUUAGAUACCGACCGAGUUAUAUGCAAAAUUUGGUGCGAAAAUGAGGAAAAUGUUACAUUUUCUCAAACAGGGUAAGGAACUUGGUUCCUCGCAUAACUUCUGGCACACACAUCUGAGGGCAUGGCCGUCCACGAAGAAAAUGUAGCCAUUGGUGCCAUCUAUCGACCACAGGUUAAAGAUUGGCGAUCCGUUGGAUACCGACCGAGUUAUAGGCAAAACUUGGUGCGAAAAUGGGCCUUAGUGGAUUGACAAAUUGAUAGAUUUUUUCAAUUUUUUCAUUAUUUUUUACCUUUUUUUAAUUUAAAGCAUUGUUUGAGUGAAAAGGAACUAAUUGCAACAAUUUCGCAUUAAAAUAAAACAAAUUUUUAAAUUUUGCUAAAUUUCUCAAAAAAAUGGCAAGGGGUAUCCCUUAUGAAAUUUUCGAGUGGAAAUUUUUUUUGAAAUUUUUUUCUGAUUUUUUAUUCUUUUUUUAAUUUAAAGCAAUAUUUGAGUGAAAACAAACUUAUUGCAACAAAUUCGCAAUAAAAUAUAUCACAUUUAAAAAUUUUGCUGAAUUGCAGAAAAAUGAGGAACAUUUUGCAUUUUCUCAAACAGGGUAAGGAACUUGGUACCUCGCAUAACUUCUGGCACAGACAUCUGAGGGCAUGGCCGUCCAAGAAGAAAAUGUAGCCAUUGAUGACAUCUAUCGACCACAGGCAAAGAUUGGAGAUCCGUUAGAUACCGACCGAGUUAUAUGCAAAAUUUGGUGCGAAAAUGAGGAAAAUGUUACAUUUUCUCAAACAGGGUAAGGAACUUGAUUCCUCGCAUAACUUCUGGCACAGACAUCUGAGGGCAUGGCCGUCCACAAAGAAAAUAUAGCCAUUGGUGCCAUCUAUCGACCACAGGUUAAAGAUUGGCGAUCCGUUGGAUACCGACCGAGUUAUAGGCAAAACUUGGUGCGAAAAUGGGCCUUAGUGGAUUGACAAAUUGAUAGAUUUUUUCAAUUUUUUCAUUAUUUUUUACCUUUUUUUAAUUUAAAGCAUUGUUUGAGUGAAAAAGCACUAAUUGCAACAAUUUCGCAUUAAAAAAAAACAAAUUUUUAAAUUUUGCUAAAUUUCUCAAAAAAAUGGCAAGGGGUACCCCUUAUGAAAUUUUCCAGUGGAAAUUUUUUUUGAAAUUUUUUUCUGAUUUUUUAUUCUUUUUUUAAUUUAAAGCAAUAUUUGAGUGAAAAGAAACUUAUUGCAACAAAUUCGCAAUAAAAUAUAUCACAUUUAAAAAUUUUGCUGAAUUGCAGAAAAAUGAGGAACAUUUUACAUUUUCUCAAACAGGGUAAGGAACUUGGUUUCUCGCAUAACUUCUGGCACAGACAUCUGAGGGCAUGGCCGUCCAAGAAGAAAAUGUAGCCAUUGAUGCCAUCUAUCGACCACAGGCAAAGAUUGGAGAUCCGUUAGAUACCGACCGAGUUAUAGGCAAAACUUGGUGCGAAAAUGAGGAAAAUUUUACAUUUUCUCAAACAGGGUAAGGAACUUGGUUCCUCGCAUAACUUCUGGCACAGACAUCUGAGGGCAUGGCCGUCCACAAAGAAAAUAUAGCCAUUGGUGCCAUCUAUCGACCACAGGUUAAAGAUUGGCGAUCCGUUGGAUACCGACCGAGUUAUAGGCAAAACUUGGUGCGAAAAUGAGCCUUAGUGGAUUGACAGAUUUAUAGAUUUUUUCAAUUUUUUCAUUAUUUUUUACCUUUUUUUAAUUUAAAGCAUUGUUUGAGUGAAAAAGAACUAAUUGCAACAAUUUUGCAUUAAAAAAAAAACAAAUUUUUAAAUUUUGCUAAAUUUCUCAAAAAAAUGGCAAGGGGUACCCCUUAUGAAAUUUUCGAGUGGAAAAUUUUUUUGAAAUUUUUUUCUGAUUUUUUAUUCUUUUUUUAAUUUAAAGCAAUAUUUGAGUGAAAAGAAACUUAUUGCAACAAAUUCGCAUUAAAAUAUAUCACAUUUAUAAAUAUUGCUGAAUUGCUGAAAAAUGAAAAAAAUUUUUACAUUUUCUCAAACAGGGUAAGGAACUUGGUUCCUCGAAUAACUUCUGGCACAGACAUCUGAGGGCAUGGCCGUCCAAGAAGAAAAUGUAGCCAUUGUUGCCAUCUAUUGACCACAGGUUAAAGAUUUGCGAUCCGUUAGAUACCGAACGAGUUAUAGGCAAAAUUUGGUGCAAAAAUGAGGAAAAUUUUACAUUUUCUCAAACAGGGUAUGGAACUUGGUUCCUCGAAUAACUUCUGGCACAGACAUCUGAGGGCGUGGCCAUCCAAGAAGAAAAUGUAGCCAUUGGUGCCAUCUAUUGACCACAAGUUGAAGUUUUUCAAUCCGUUAGAUACCGACCGAGUUAUAGGCAAAAUUUGGUGCAAAAAUGAGCCUUAUGAAAUUUUCAAAUUUUUAUAAUUUCUCAGUUUUUUUAUUUUUUUUUUGUUUAAAACAUUAUUUGAGUGAAAAGAAAGUUAUUGCAACCAAUUGGCAUUAAAAUAAAA